GCCUGGGCUGGUGGUUGGUGACCCUGCACAUAGCAGGGGGUUGGAACUGGAUGAUCAUUGUGGUCCUUUUCAACCCAGGCCAUUCUGUCAUUCUAUGAAGACAUGAGUUGACUUUCACUUUUCUUGAAGAGAUUUUGUUUUCACAGAAUCAUCAUGUGAAUUGAAAGGGACACUUAAAGGUCAUCUGGCUUAACCCCCCUACAGUGAACAGGGACACCUACAGUUAGAUCAGGUGCUCAGAGCCCCAGCCAGCCUCACCCUGAAUAUCUCCUGGGAUGAGUCCUAACACCAGCUCUGUGGCUGCCUUUGUUCUAGUGCUUCAGUUCCCUUCAUUUGAAAAACCUUUCCCUUACGUCCAGUCUUUUCCCUUAUAUGCAGCCUCUUCUUUGCUUGAGGAGUGUUUAUCUGUUCGGUUUUUAGGCUCUCCCACCUGUCUACAGCCAAGUCAGCAAAGACAAAUGGAAGGUUUGGCCAAACACAAUUUGCCUUGAAGUGACAACCAGCCACAGAAACGAGCAUUUCAAUAUCCUUCCCUUCUUUUCCCUGCAGUGAAAAGUUAACUGGAAACACAUCUGGGUUGUGCAGUGUGACCUAAAGCUGCCCCUGGAAGAGAUGCAUUAGCAAGGCCUCCUGUGAGAGCACCAAGAUCCCACCAGUCUCUCAGGAGUGUCAGAAAGUAAAAGGCACCACGUAAAUAAGCUUCUAUUCGAUGACACAUGAAAGCACGUCCAGCAGACGAGGCACGAUGGAAGAGCCGUAUUCACACCCACAUCAACAGCUCCAGAUGGCCAGCAGAACUCCCAGCAUGAUUCCAUACUGCAGCCAUAGAGGACGCCUUACCUACAGCCAGGUGAUACUGCAUGGAACAGCAGACACGAUGACCCCAUACAAUAAAGGAACCAAGCUCAGCUCCUCCAACCACACGCCUGCAAUGAGGCCUGGGGACAGAACCCCUGCUGUGCCCCCACCAUCUCCACAUCAUCACCCUGUGCUGCUCAGCCUCCUUCCUGCCUUCUGCUCCCACCCGCAGCAAUUAGUGCCCACUCAGCUAUACUGAAACGUUCCCACAAGGCAACAUGAGCAGCUUCCACUUUUAACUUCAUCCUCCAGAAAUCCCACACCUGUGAUGCUUUGCCUAUUGUCA